AGGAAGGUGGGGAUGACGUCAAGUCCGCAUGGCCCUUAUGCCCUGGGCUGCACACGUGCUACAAUGGUCGGUACAGAGGGACGCCAAACCGUGAGGUGGAGCAAAUCCCAAAAAGCCGACCCCAGUUCGGAUUGCAGUCUGAAACUCGACUGCAUGAAUGUUGGAAUCGCUAGUAAUCGCGGAUCAGCAUGCCGCGGUGAAUCCGUUCCCGGCCCUUGUACACACCGCCCGUCACGCCAUGGGAGUUGGUAGCAUUCAAAGACGGUGACCCAACCUUCGGGAGGGAGCUGUUUAAAGUGAGACUGAUGACCGGGGCGAAGUCGUAACAAGGUAGCCGUAGGGGAACCUGCGGCUGGAUCACCUCCUUU
rnacentral:rRNA from 1 species